rnacentral:lncRNA from 1 species
UCCCAAUCGCCCCUCCAUCUUGGGGUCCUUGGGGUGUGUCCUUGACGGGGAUCGUGGGGUACCAUUCUCUUCCUGUCUUUAGCUUCCGGGCCAUGAGUGACUCUGCUCAGCCACAUGGCCCCAGCACAGUAUGCUGCCUCGUACACCCUAAAAGCCACGGGGACAACUGAUAAUGGGCUGGGACCCCCCCCAUGUGUGAGCCCAAAUAACCCUUUCCUCUUCAUAAGCUGAUUAUCUCGCCCUUGUUGCCUUGCUACCUUGUGUGCCCCAUGUUGUUUCUCCUCUGCGAUACCUGUUUGCCGUCCCUGCCUUGGAGCCACCUGAACACGAACUGAAACCUCUGUGAACUAAGAAAGAUUCUGCAGAUUAUGGCUUCUUCACCUGUCAUGAGCCACACAUGACUACUGAGUCCUGGAAAUAUGGUGGCUGACCGGACAGUUGACAAUCCUUCCCAAGAAGAACGCAGAUCUACACAUCUCUAAUCUGGAUUUGAGAUCAUAGGAGAACCACAAUAUCCAUUUUUUUGAGUUUUCUACUAAAGUGAAAAAACUGAAAUGCUGAAAGCACAGUUACAUACAUUGCUUUAUACUUUCAUGUUGCAAAUUUUACAUGCAAUAAAAUA